ACAAUGGAGAGUUUGAUCCUGGCUCAGGAUGAACGCUAGCGGGAGGCCUAACACAUGCAAGCCGAGCGGUAGAUUGCUUUCGGGCAAUUGAGAGCGGCGUACGGGUGCGGAACACGUGUGCAACCUGCCUUUAUCUGGGGGAUAGCCUUUCGAAAGGAAGAUUAAUACCCCAUAAUAUAAGAGACGGCAUCGUUUUUUAUUGAAAACUCCGGUGGAUAGAGAUGGGCACGCGCAAGAUUAGAUAGUUGGUGAGGUAACGGCUCACCAAGUCGACGAUCUUUAGGGGGCCUGAGAGGGUGAUCCCCCACACUGGUACUGAGACACGGACCAGACUCCUACGGGAGGCAGCAGUGAGGAAUAUUGGACAAUGGGUGAAAGCCUGAUCCAGCCAUCCCGCGUGAAGGACGACGGCCCUAUGGGUUGUAAACUUCUUUUGUAUAGGGAUAAACCUUUCCACGAGUGGAAAGCUGAAGGUACUAUACGAAUAAGCACCGGCUAACUCCGUGCCAGCAGCCGCGGUAAUACGGAGGGUGCAAGCGUUAUCCGGAUUUAUUGGGUUUAAAGGGUCCGUAGGCUGAUUUGUAAGUCAGUGGUGAAAUCUCACAGCUUAACUGUGAAACUGCCAUUGAUACUGCAAGUCUUGAGUGUUGUUGAAGUAGCUGGAAUAAGUAGUGUAGCGGUGAAAUGCAUAGAUAUUACUUAGAACACCAAUUGCGAAGGCAGGUUACUAAGCAACAACUGACGCUGAUGGACGAAAGCGUGGGGAGCGAACAGGAUUAGAUACCCUGGUAGUCCACGCCGUAAACGAUGCUAACUCGUUUUUGGGAUGUAAAUUUCAGAGACUAAGCGAAAGUGAUAAGUUAGCCACCUGGGGAGUACGAACGCAAGUUUGAAACUCAAAGGAAUUGACGGGGGCCCGCACAAGCGGUGGAUUAUGUGGUUUAAUUCGAUGAUACGCGAGGAACCUUACCAAGGCUUAAAUGGGAAAUGACAGGCUUAGAAAUAGGCUUUUCUUCGGACAUUUUUCAAGGUGCUGCAUGGUUGUCGUCAGCUCGUGCCGUGAGGUGUUAGGUUAAGUCCUGCAACGAGCGCAACCCCUGUCACUAGUUGCCAUCAUUAAGUUGGGGACUCUAGUGAGACUGCCUACGCAAGUAGAGAGGAAGGUGGGGAUGACGUCAAAUCAUCACGGCCCUUACGCCUUGGGCCACACACGUAAUACAAUGGCCGGUACAGAGGGCAGCUACACAGUGAUGUGAUGCAAAUCUCGAAAGCCGGUCUCAGUUCGGAUUGGAGUCUGCAACUCGACUCUAUGAAGCUGGAAUCGCUAGUAAUCGCGCAUCAGCCAUGGCGCGGUGAAUACGUUCCCGGGCCUUGUACACACCGCCCGUCAAGCCAUGGAAGUCUGGGGUACCUGAAGUCGGUGACCGUAAAAGGAGCUGCCUAGGGUAAAACAGGUAACUAGGGCUAAGUCGUAACAAGGUAGCCGUACCGGAAGGUGCGGCUGGAACAUCUCAUUUUAGA
rnacentral:rRNA from 1 species